GAUGAACGCUGGCGGCGUGCCUAAUACAUGCAAGUCGAGCGAACAGACGAGGAGCUUGCUCCUCUUACGUUAGCGGCGGACGGGUGAGUAACACGUGGAUAACCUACCUAUAAGACUGGGAUAACUUCGGGAAACCGGAGCUAAUACCGGAUAAUAUAUUGAACCGCAUGGUUCAAUAGUGAAAGACGGUUUUGCUGUCACUUAUAGAUGUAUCCUGGCCGCAUUAGCUAGUUGGUAAGGUAACGGCUUACCAAGGCAACGAUGCGUAGCCGACCUGAGAGGGUGAUCGGCCACACUGGAACUGAGACACGGUCCAGACUCCUACGGGAGGCAGCAGUAGGGAAUAUUCCGCAAUGGGCGAAAGCCUGACGGAGCAACGCCGCGUGAGUGAAGAAGGUCUUCGGAUCGUAAAACUCUGUUAUUAGGGAAGAACAAAUGUGUAAGUAACUAUGCACGUCUUGACGGUACCUAAUCAGAAAGCCACGGCUAACUACGUG
rnacentral:rRNA from 1 species